rnacentral:rRNA from 1 species
UGGCGGACGGGUGCGUAACGCGUAGGAACAUGUCCGGAGGUAGGGGACAACCCUGGGAAACUGGGGCUAAUACCGCAUGGGUCCUGUGGGACAAAGCCUUUCGGGGCGCCUUUGGAGUGGCCUGCGUCCGAUUAGCUAGUUGGUGGGGUAAAGGCCUACCAAGGCGACGAUCGGUAGCUGGUCUGAGAGGACGAUCAGCCACACUGGGACUGAGACACGGCCCAGACUCCUACGGGAGGCAGCAGUGGGGAAUAUUGGACAAUGGGCGCAAGCCUGAUCCAGCAAUUCCGCGUGGGUGAAGAAGGUUUUCGGAUUGUAAAGCCCUUUCGGCGGGGACGAUGAUGACGGUACCCGCAGAAGAAGCCCCGGCUAACUUCGUGCCAGCAGCCGCGGUAAUACGAAGGGGGCUAGCGUUGCUCGGAAUUACUGGGCGUAAAGGGCGCGUAGGCGGCACAUUUAGUCAGGCGUGAAAUUCCUGGGCUCAACCUGGGGACUGCGCUUGAUAC